rnacentral:rRNA from 1 species
UGGGGAAUAUUGCACAAUGGGCGCAAGCCUGAUGCAGCAACGCCGCGUGACGAUGAAGGUCUUCGGAUCGUAAAGUUCUGUUGCAGGGGAGGAUAAUGACGGUACCCUGUGAGGAAGCCCCGGCUAACUACGUGCCAGCAGCCGCGGGAAUACGUAGGGGGCUAGCGUUAUCCGGAUUUACUGGGCGUAAAGGGUGCGUAGGUGGUCUUUCAAGUCGGUGGUUAAAGGCUACGGCUCAACCGUAGUUAGCCUCCGAAACUGGAAGACUUGAGUGCAGGAGAGGAAAGUGGAAUUCCCAGUGUAGCGGUGAAAUGCGUAGAUAUUGGGAGGAACACCAGUAGCGAAGGCGGCUUUCUGGACUGCAACUGACACUGAGGCACGAAAGCGUGGGUAGCAAACAGG